GCAAGUCGAACGUGAAGGUUGAGAUGACGACUUCGGUUUGAAUUUUGGCUGGAAAGUGGCGAACGGGUGAGUAACACGUAGGUGAUCUGCCUCGAAGUGGGGGAUAACCAUCGGACACGAUGGCUAAUACCUCAUAGUUCUGUUGGUGUGGGAACAUUGACAGGUAAAGGUCUUGCGCUUCGAGAGGAGCCUGCGUCCGAUUAGCUAGUUGGUGGGGUAAAGGCCCACCAAGGCGACGAUCGGUAGCUGGUCUGAGAGGACGAUC
rnacentral:rRNA from 1 species